rnacentral:rRNA from 1 species
AACGAACGCUGGCGGCAGGCCUAACACAUGCGAGUCGAGCGAGCAUUUCGGUGCUAGCGGCGGACGGGUGAGUAACGCGUGGGAACGUGCCUUUUCUGCGGAAUAGUCCUGGGAAACUGGGGGUAAUACCGCAUACGCCCUUUUGGGGAAAGAUUUAUCGGAGAAGGAUCGGCCCGCGUUGGAUUAGGUAGUUGGUGGGGUAAUGGCCCACCAAGCCGACGAUCCAUAGCUGGUUUGAGAGGAUGAUCAGCCACACUGGGACUGAGACACGGCCCAGACUCCUACGGGAGGCAGCAGUGGGGAAUCUUAGACAAUGGGGGCAACCCUGAUCUAGCCAUGCCGCGUGAGUGAUGAAGGCCUUAGGGUUGUAAAGCUCUUUCAGCUGGGAAGAUAAUGACGGUACCAGCAGAAGAAGCCCCGGCUAACUCCGUG